rnacentral:rRNA from 1 species
CCUACGGGAGGCAGCAGUGGGGGAUAUUGCACAAUGGGGGAAACCCUGAUGCAGCGACGCCGCGUGAGUGAAGAAGUAUUUCGGUAUGUAAAGCUCUAUCAGCAGGGAAGAAAAUGACAGUACCUGACCAAGAAGCCCCGGCUAACUCCGUGCCAGAAGCCGCGGUAAUACGUAGGGGGCAAGCUUUAUCCGGAUUUACUGGGUGUAAAGGGAGCGUAGACGGUUAUGUAAGUCUGGAGUGAAAGCCCGGGGCCCAACCCCGGGACUGCUUUGGAAACUGUGUAACUGGAGUACAGUUGAGGGAGGCAGAAUUCGUGGUGUAGCGGUGAAAUGCUUAGAGAUCACGAAGAACACCGAUGGCGAAGGCAGCUUACUAAACGGCCACUGACAUUGAGGCUCGAAAGUGUGGGUAGCAAACAGGAUUAGAUACCCGAGUAGUC